GAUGAACGCUGACAGAAUGCUUAACACAUGCAAGUCUACUUGAACUUCGGUUUGGGUGGCGGACGGGUGAGUAACGCGUAAAGAACUUGCCUCACAGAUAGGGACAACAUUUGGAAACGAAUGCUAAUACCUGAUAUUAUGAUUUUAGGGCAUCCUAGAAUUAUGAAAGCUAUAUGCACUGUGAGGGAGCUUUGCGUCCCAUUAGCUAGUUGGAGAGGUAACGGCUCACCAAGGCGAUGAUGGGUAGCCGGCCUGAGAGGGUGAUCGGCCACAAGGGGACUGAGACACGGCCCUUACUCCUACGGGAGGCAGCAGUGGGGAAUAUUGGACAAUGGACCAAGAGUCUGAUCCAGCAAUUCUGUGUGCACGAUGAAGUUUUUCGGAAUGUAAAGUGCUUUCAGUUGGGAAGAAAAAAAUGACGGUACCAACAGAAGAAGUGACGGCUAAAUACGUG
rnacentral:rRNA from 1 species